rnacentral:lncRNA from 1 species
CACAUUCGUAUAUAUAAUCCCUCCUAUCUUUUUUUCCUAGUUUUUCCUUUUGCUUUGAAAACCAUACACUUCUCCAGCAUACUGUUACUACUACUUAAAAAGUAUCUUAGCCAUUUCUUUUUUUAACUUUUAACUUUUAAAUUCAGGGGUACAAGCUCAGGAUUUUUACUUAGGUAAACAUGUCAUGGGGGUUUGUUGUACAGAUUAUUUCAUCACCCAGGUAUUAACCCUAGUACCCAUUAGUUGUUUGUUUCCCAAUCCUCUCCCUCCUCCCAUCCUCCACCCUCUGAAAGGUCCCAGUGUGUGUUGUUCCCCUCUGUGUGUCCAUGUGUUCUCAUCAUUUAGCUCGCACUUAUAAAUGACAACAUGCAGUAUUUGGUUUUCUGUUCCUGCGUUAGUUUGCUAAGGAUAAUGGCCAUUAUCUUAGCCAUUUGAAAAUAAUGAUUUAACCUCUCUCACCUUCAUUGUCAUUUUAGAAGAAACUACCAUUUGGUGUCCUGCUGAGACAAGGUAUGUAGUUCGCUUUUAUUUUUCUUUCUUUAUGUACAUGUUUCCACUGUUUCCUGUUAUUUAUGACUUAAUGACAUUUCAGAACUUUAAUACACUAAUAUCCAUAAAUCUCUUCCUUUUUCCUUAGAAAAUAUUUUCACAACUCAAGACAAGUUAAAUAUCCACUUAUGGGAACAGUGCUGAAGGCCUGGACUAGGAUGGUAGCAAUGGAGACAGACUAAAGGUCAGCAUAACAGUCAACAUUAAGGGGGUUGAAUCAACAGCACAUAGUACCUGAUUGGAAAUACAGAGUAAAUUACAGUGAGAAGUGAGUUGCUGUCCAGAUUUCUAUCUUGGAUAUGUAGACAGAUGAUGGUCAGCAAGCAAGAAAACAGGCAGAACAAUUUUAGAAACUAAGAAAAUGUAUUUCCAAUGGAACUAAUUAAAUCAGAGUCUGUAAAUAGCAUUGUAAGAUAUAGGAGGCUGAUAUGGUUUGGAUUUGUGUCCCUGCCUAAAUCUCAUGUCAAAUUAUAUCUCCAAUGUUGGAGAAGAGGCCUAGUGGGGGGUAAUUGGAUCAUGGAGCUGGAUUUUCCCUUUGCUGUUCUCAUGACAGUGGGUUCUCAUGAGAUCUGGUUGUUUAAAAGUGUGUAGCACCUCCCCCUUCUGUCUUUUCCUCCUGCUCUGACCAUGCAAGAUGUGACUGCUUCUCCUUUCACCAUGAUUGAAAGUUUCCUGAGGCGCCCCCAGCCAUGCUUUCUGUACAGCCCAUGGAACUGUCAGCCAAUUAAACCUCUUUUUAAAAUAAAUUACCCUGUUUCAGAUAUUUAUCAGUGCAUGAACGGACUAAUACAGAGGCAGAAGCACAUCUGCAGGCAGAAAUGGGGAAAAAAAUAAUAUCAGAAGAAAGGAUAAGAGGAAGAGCUUAAGAAUAAGUAUGUGCAAAUUUUAGUUGAUGCUGGACUGGGGAGAGGUGCUAAUGGAUUCAGAUCCUGGGGGAAUCUGGACAAGGAUAUGGUCCAGAGAUCAAUGGGAGGAGAAGAAAAUUAAUAAACUUGACUUAAGGACUAGCCUCUAAGUUGAGAAAUGUAAUGUUUAUGCUAAUAUUUUUACAGAAAAAGGUGUUAUCAUUCUCAGUUUUGCAACCUGAUUCAGAGAAGCUAAGCCAUAGACCCCAAGCCACAUGGACUACAUGGUGGCAUCUAUUUAAAUUCAUAUUUAUUUGUUCUUAGCACUUUUGUUGUGGUCGCUAUGCUACCUCUAAGUAGGACUUUGACUUCCUACAAAAUUCACUGUUACACAUCCAGGUAGAUGUGAAUACAUGCUGCAGUAAUGUCUGUCACCCAUAGUCACUGCAGGGGAAGUUGGCAUCACAGCACUGACGAUAUGCCUACUAUCUUUAGGUUAAAGUGGAUACGUUAUCAUUACCCUAUGCAAAAGAAUCUGAUCAUUGCCCUGAAGAUAAUUUUGUUAUCUCACAUUGCAUAUGUGAUCAUUACCCUGAGGGCAGAGAUGCAAUCAUUGGCCUAUAGGAAUACUUAUCAUUAUGGCUUGGCAAGUGGAAAAGUGAUAAUUAACUUGCACGAAUAGAUGGGAUCAUUGCACUACAGAUAGAUCUGUUAUUGCAUUUCCUGAAGAAAUGCAAUCUCUAGUGUGCAAAAGACAAUGUGUUAUCUACAUUUAUGGUAGAGAUAUGCUCCUUAUAUUGCCCAUAAUGAUGAUAUCAAUUGCAUUUCAGGUGGAAAUUAGGAUUGUUGCAUUGCUGAUAACCUUGUUAUAAUUACGUUACAGAAAGAGAUGCAAUCAUUCCCUUGCAUAUGGUCCGUAUGAAGACGGGAUCAUUACAGGAAAGGUGAAGGAGAUACAGUCAUUAUGCUCUAUAUACACCCAUUUUUAUGGCUAGCGGCUGAAGAUGGGAUGCUUUCUUUGCUGGAAGACCUAUUACCUGUUAGGUUGCAAAAGAUGUGAUCAUCUUCCUAAACAAUAAUUUAGAGUCCCAUAACAAUUUUAAGUGUGCUGUUCAUGAAAAUUUGAAUACAUUGUAUUGGGAAUAUAAUGGAAGUGAGAUGCCUCAUGUCGUGAGAAAAUCUGACAUAAACUCCUUAAGCAUGAGAGGCCAUGUGGGUAUGGAAGCCCUGAAAGGGAGGAAAAAACAGCCAGACCCUAGCUGUUCCAGUCAUCCCAACUGAGGUGCCAGACUUGUGAUUGAGGCCAUCUUGCAUCAUCUAGGCCUAGUAGAGCUGCCAACUGACUGCAGACACAUGAGUCAAUCCAGCUAAUGCCACAUGGAGCAGAGACAAGCCGCCCAGCUGAGCCCAGUCCAGAUGACAGAAUCAUGAGCAAAUAAGGUUGUUGUUCUUUUAAGCCACUAAAUUUUCGGGUGAUUUGUUACACAGUAAUAAAUAACUGAAACAACUAUGUACAGUUUAAUGAUCUGAAAUCAAUCCAUAGUGUUAUGAUAGCCUUUUUAACAAAAUUGAAAUGAUAACUUAUUCAUUUACAAUGCAAAUCAAUUUAAUGGCAAUAGUUACAACUGCCCUGAAAUGAUCUAAAGCCUCAUGAAGUUGAUUUAAUAUCUAGCUACCCAACAUACUUAAUCACAUGUUCACAGUUGAUGAAUAGUGACUGAAUCUCCAUGAGCAAGAUAAUAGUAAAGCUCUUUUUUUCUCUUUCUCUUUUUUUCCAGAUGAAUAAUUUUACAUUUACACUGAUAAAAAGUUAAAGUUGCAGCUCUGUUUUCACACUACCUGAGGGAUCUUUGUAGAUUACAUAAACCCUAAGCCUCCUGUGUAAGUUAAGGAAAAAAAUUCCAAACUCACAGUGUUAUCGAGAGGAUUAAAUAACAUAAUUUAUGCAAAGUCUUAACCAUAGUUGCUAGCAUUUAAACUUUAACUUUUGUCCAUGUCUCUAAUGUAAUUUAAAAUGAUCUUACUCUUUAAGGUUUGAUCUAAUAGAAUAUUUGUCAGACACAAAGACCAAGAUUUGUCCCAGUUGAUGAACCCUGGGUAUAACUCAAUAGCAUAUUGGCAGUUUUUAUUUUCUGUUAAGUCUGGAUCCAUUCAAUUAGUGAUUUAUUUCUUAAUUUGUCAAACAUUACAUUAACAAAGUAACAACUUUUCUAUCCAUAUUAUAUUGUGGUUACAAAAAAUGGAUCAAUUAUAUUUGAAUUAAAAAAUUUAAUUGCCACCAAAGAAGAGAAAAAUAACUAGAGAAAAAUAAAAGAGAUGUGUCAAGAAGGAAUAAAGAGGCUGAUAACAUGAGAUCUCUUCUAGCUUUGAAACAUGUCUUGUGAAAUGACUAAAAUUUUAAAAGCUAGGAUCAAGUAUUGGUGAGGAGAUGAAGUAAUUCUAAGUCUCAUCCAUUGCUAAUGGGGUAUACAUUGGUUUAACCAGUUUGGAGGACUGUUUGGUAAUGUCCAAAUAUUUAUUAAAGUUAAACCUACUCCUAAGUCUUAUAGCCCAGAAAUUUCAAACCUAGGUAAAUACCUAAGAGAAAUAAGAGUACAUGUCUUCCAAAAGAUCUAUACAAGAAUGUGUAUAGCAGCCAUAGUCAUAACUCCCUAAAACUGGAAAUGACCCAAAUGUCCAUAAAAAGGGAAAUGGAUACAUGUAUCAUUACAUAUUUAUCUAAUGAAUUGCUAUGUCGCUGUAAGAAUGAGCAACCCACUGAUACAUGCCACAGUAUCAUGAAUCACAUAGACAGUAUGCUGCCUGAAAUAAGCCAAAAUAAAAAAUGUCUUAUUUCACUUAUAUGAAGUUCUAGAAUAUGUAAACGUGAUUUAUGAUGACAGAAAUUAAAAUAGCAGUUCCCUUUGCAUAGGGGGAGCGUAUUCAUUACGGAAGUGUAUGAUAAAACAUUGUACAUUGGUGGAAUGUUCUAUAUCUUCACUUGAGUGUUUACCAGGAUAUAUGUCCACAAAAAAGUUAGGAAUCCAUACUUAAGAUUUGUGCCCUUUAUAAUAUGUGUGUUAUACAGCCACUGAAAAUAAAUUGAUAGAUAAAAAGUAAUGUCUUCUAGGUUCCAUAUGGAGAGGACUGAUGAAGCCAGCAUUAGGCGUGAUGGGGACGUGCAUAAAUGUGUAUGUUAUCCACUGAGACACAGAUUCUGAAGCACCAGAACAUUAAAGGCACUUCUACUUGUUUCUUCUACCCAGCUGAAAGGACAGAAAGCUUCUUCCACAGAGCCAGGACAGUCCAGGGGAACGUAGUCCUUCGACUGAAAGCUAUGCUUCCUAUUUUCUAACAAAGAGGCUAGGUCAUGUUGACCACCCAGUUUUGGCCUGCCUGGCUUGCUUUUUAUUCCAGCCUGGAGGACUUUCAGGGUUGAAUAUCCACUCAAGCCAAAUCCCAAGAAGCAUAACCUGCUAUUAGACUCUUGUCACUUAUCGGGUGAGGGGCUGUGCGGCUGUUCCAGUGCUUCCCCACUUGGGUCUUGUGACAUACCCUGGGGCCAAGCCAAGCCCUGGAGGUUAGCUUCUACAGUCUGUCCUUAAAGAGAGCUCAGGGAUGUCUGGACAGGACCUGGAGACAGUGCCCUGGGCCAGAGACCUCUGAUCUCUAGGCCAGCAGAGUCACCAUGCAGACAGAUUUAUGAGCCUUAGGCAAAACAGCUGGCAUUCCUGUGGCCAUCUUUCUACCCCUUCCUUUCCACAUGACCAUAUCCUUGGCCAGAUCUUCAUGUCCUUAGAUGGCUGUUGCCUUUGGGUAAAUUGGCAAUUAAGAUAAAUGAGCAUAUUUAUCAUGGCCUUGUGGUUACCCCUCCUGAAGCUCUCAGGGUGGCAAGCUGCCUGACCCUCCUACUAUGAACUUAGUAACUUUAAAACAGAGAGUAUCUUUUCUUGCCCAGCUGAAAUUUCCUCCCCAGGCGACCUACUUUUAGGAUUAAUAUGCGGGAAAGUCUGCAGUUUUGUUUUCAGUGAGGGUAGUUGUGUUUUCAAGGAAAGAGGUAGCGCCUUACAGUCAGAUUAGCCAGCUUUAUUUCUUUCAUCAACCCUUUACUGGCUUUCUAAAUUUUUUCAAGUAACUUCACCUCUCUGAGUUUCAUUUACCUCAUUACCUUCAUCAGGUAAGAUGACAUAUGAAAAGCCCUUCUCAAGCAACUGCAAAGUUCCAAUUAAUAGAAGAAAUUGUAAUGACUAUCUGUGUUUGAAGCGGGGCCAUUUUUCUUAUUUGGAAUUUUCACGUAUUAAAAAUAUGGAUCCUUUACACCUGUAUGCCUUUACUCUCCAAAUUGAUUCAUUCUCUAGUUCCUCUAUCUCAUUACUAAGUUCAAAUAAUCAUCUUCCUACAAAUCACUCAGUUUAGAUGCCUUGAAGGCUUCUUUGAAUACUUGCUCCUGUUCACACCCGACAGUCAGUCAUCAAGCCCUGUGGAACUUGUCCCUGGUCAACAUCCGUUCUUCUCCAUUCCUACUGCCGUUCACCACACGCAGGCCCUCAUUGUCCCCUCCUGGGAUCUAUAUCCUCUCCUCAGCACCUUUUUCUUCUCUAUUGAUACCAUAGACAACUUCUCAUCUCAUAUUCUCUAAACUCAACUUUCAGGAUAUCAUACUCUUAUUCCAUAGAUCAGAACUUUCAAUGACUUUCUCCUUCUUUACAGCUCUUCAUAACAACUCUGAAGAUAGAUUCAGUCCUUCUUUUUGGAAUUGCCUCUUAUUUCUUUUUCUUUUUAUGCCCAUCAUAAACCUCCCAUUGGCAAAAUUACCAUGAACAUUUUCUUGUGAAUUCAUUGCCUUGGUUCAUUGGUUCAUGGACGGGCACCACCAUGAGCCAAUUAGAAUCUUUCCCUGAGAAUCUAGAAUCAUGGUUAAGAAGGUAUAGAUCUGCCUGAUGCUUUGUUGAAUGAAGAAAAUAUAAUGUCCCAAGGGUGGCAGCCAUUUUUCUGCCCUAUGAACUUCAAAAUGCAGAAAAUCUAUCUGGAAUGUGAAAGAAGAAGGAUAUCAAUGUAAAAACAAGAACAAUAUAGAUAAGUAGAGAGAGAAGAGAGAGUGACUCCCCAUUCUGCUUUUUUCUGAGGCCUUAAUUUUUUUUUAUUUGUCAUUGGUCUGCUAAGAUAAGUUAUCCCCCCCGCUUUUUUUUUUUUAGGAGACGACUCACUCUGUUGCCAGGCUGGAAUGCAAUGCCACAAUCUCGGCUCACCACAAUCUCCACUUCCAGGGUUUAAGCGAUUCCCUUGCUUCAGCCUCCUGAGUAGCU